UAAAGCCUGCCGGGUGCGAUUCUCUUAGAACACUAACCCAACACACUUUUAAACGGAAGUUUUUCUCGAAUGUGGAGUGCAGACCUCCCCUUUUGGGACGCUGGGAGCACGGUAGCGGACGGAAGACACCCACCUGCUUUUACAUGCAGGUUACUGAUCCUAAGACCCCGGCUCGGCGGGUGACAA
rnacentral:other from 1 species